ACGCUGGCGGCGUGCCUAAUACAUGCAAGUCGAACGGCUUUUCUAUGGAAGCUUGCUUCCACUGGGAAGAUAGUGGCGAACGGGUGAGUAACACGUGGGUAACCUGCCCAUAAGAGGGGGAUAACAUCCGGAAACGGGUGCUAAUACCGCAUAGUUUUCUUGAUCGCAUGAUCGGGAAAGGAAAGACGGCCUUUGUGCUGUCGCUUAUGGAUGGACCCGCGGCGUAUUAGUUAGUUGGUGAGGUAACGGCUCACCAAGACGAUGAUACGUAGCCGACCUGAGAGGGUGAUCGGCCACAUUGGGACUGAGACACGGCCCAAACUCCUACGGGAGGCAGCAGUAGGGAAUCUUCCGCAAUGGACGAAAGUCUGACGGAGCAACGCCGCGUGAGUGAAGAAAAGGGUUUUCGGAUCGUAAAACUCUGUUGUCAGAGAAGAACAAGUUGGAGAGUAACUGCUCCAGCCUUGACGGUAUCUGACCAGAAAGCCACGGCUAACUACGUGCCAGCCGCAGC
rnacentral:rRNA from 1 species